rnacentral:tRNA from 1 species
ACUUAAAUAGUUUAAUAAAAAUAUUGAUUUGUGGUAUCAAAGUUAUUCAUUUAUUUUAAGUU